CAGAGGUGGCAAGCGUUGUUCGGAAUUACUGGGCGUAAAGGGCGCGUAGGCGGCCUUCUAAGUCAGACGUGAAAUCCCCAGGCUUAACUUGGGAACUGCGCCUGAUACUGGAGGGCUCGAGUGCGGGAGAGGGAUGUGGAAUUCCAGGUGUAGCGGUGAAAUGCGUAGAUAUCUGGAGGAACACCGGUGGCGAAGGCGGCAUCCUGGACCGACACUGACGCUGAGGCGCGAAAGCUAGGGGAGCAAACGGGAUUAGAUACCCCGGUAGUCCUAGCCCUAAACGAUGAGUGCUUGGUGUGGCGGGUAUCGAUCCCUGCCGUGCCGAAGCUAACGCAUUAGGCACUCCGCCUGGGGAGUACGGUCGCAAGGCUG
rnacentral:rRNA from 1 species